UUCCGAUUAUGGCGAGUAAUUAACUUAUCCGCUUUCUCCUUGCUUAAUGGUUUUUCAUGCUGAAGACGCGCUAUUGUGGCAUGAGGGAUGCGUUUAAAAGGAACGUCGGCGCCUUUAAACAUGUUUUCAUGAACCUGGUCUUCAGGAAUAACCUUACAUUGUAAAAGCUUUCCAUAUAAAAGAUAAUUAUGCAUUGUCUCAGCAACGACAUUGGCAACGUCUAACGAUUCAAACUCGAUGAAAGCAUAAUGCUUACUACUUCCUGUCUAAUGCAAAAAGUUAGCAGUCGAAAAUAAAAAGAAGAACUAAAAUAGUCCGCUGUAGAUAAUAAAUGUUACCAUACCUUUCUAUUGCGAGACAUGCGAAGACGUAGCACAGGACCAAAUUGAGAAAAAUACAUACGCAUCUGUUUCUCAUAAAAUCCAUGAGGAAGUCGGCCAACAUACAAAACACCUUUUUUCUUUUGAAGAUUCUUAUUUUCAGAAACCUUUUUCUUUAUGGUUUUCUCAGCAUCUUCGCCCAAAUCCAUAAUUUGCCUUGAGGUAUUAACUAGCGCAUUUGGAGAGUCUUCUUCAUCAUCAUCUGAAGAACCGAAACCAGGAAAAAACUCUUUAUCUUGUCCUUCUUCAUCAGAGUUAUCUACAUGACCUUGUAAUGAUAUAUGCUCGGCUUUUUCAGCAUCUUUGACUUUCUUCUCACGAAGAACCGAUUUCGGUUGAUUCACCGAUUCUAAAAUCAAUUGAGUUAAAAACCAUACAAUAGUGAUAUUAUUCCUAUCACUUACUUUUCGAAGACUUUAUAGGGCUCUUUGCCUUCGACAUAAUGUUUUAUAAAAGUAUAGGUAUUGAACUGAAUUUUUCCAGUGUCAAAAACGGCCAGAUGCCUAAAUUACAAGUUGUUAUACAUUUCCUUAAGCUAGACAUGGUAGAAUUUGAAUU